rnacentral:rRNA from 1 species
AUUGAACGCUGGCGGCAGGCCUAACACAUGCAAGUCGGGCGAGCGGCGGCGGGGGGGGGAAUGUAUGGGGAUCUGCCCGAUGGAGGGGGAUAACUACUGAAAACGGUAGCUAAUACCGCAUACUUUAGGAGGAACCCAUAUGGGAUUGGCUAGUUGGUGAGGUAAUGGCUCACCAAGGCGACGAGCCCUAGCUGGUCUGAGAGGAUGACCAGCCACACUGGAACUGAGACACGGUCCAGACUCCUACGGGAGGCAGCAGUGGGGAAUAUUGCACAAUGGGCGCAAGCCUGAUGCAGCCAUGCCGCGUGUGUGAAGAAGGCCUUCGGGUUGUAAAGCACUUUCAGCGAGGAGGCGUUACUCGCAGAAGAAGCACCGGCUAACUCCGUGCCAGCAGCCGCGGUAAUUC